rnacentral:rRNA from 1 species
CGGACGAGAAGCUUGCUUCUCUGAUGUUAGCGGCGGACGGGUGAGUAACACGUGGAUAACCUACCUAUAAGACUGGGAUAACUUCGGGAAACCGGAGCUAAUACCGGAUAAUAUUUUGAACCGCAUGGUUCAAAAGUGAAAGACGGUCUUGCUGUCACUUAUAGAUGGAUCCGCGCUGCAUUAGCUAGUUGGUAAGGUAACGGCUUACCAAGGCAACGAUGCAUAGCCGACCUGAGAGGGUGAUCGGCCACACUGGAACUGAGACACGGUCCAGACUCCUACGGGAGGCAGCAGUAGGGAAUCUUCCGCAAUGGGCGAAAGCCUGACGGAGCAACGCCGCGUGAGUGAUGAAGGUCUUCGGAUCGUAAAACUCUGUUAUUAGGGAAGAACAUAUGUGUAAGUAACUGUGCACAUCUUGACGGUACCUAAUCAGAAAGCCACGGCUAACUACGUGCCAGCAGCCGCGGUAAUACGUAGGUGGCAAGCGUUAUCCGGAAUUAUUGGGCGUAAAGCGCGCGUAGGCGGUUUUUUAAGUCUGAUGUGAAAGCCCACGGCUCAACCGUGGAGGGUCAUUGGAAACUGGAAAACUUGAGUGCAGAAGAGGAAAGUGGAAUUCCAUGUGUAGCGGUGAAAUGCGCAGAGAUAUGGAGGAACACCAGUGGCGAAGGCGACUUUCUGGUCUGUAACUGACGCUGAUGUGCGAAAGCGUGGGGAUCAAACAGGAUUAGAUACCCUGGUAGUCCACGCCGUAAACGAUGAGUGCUAAGUGUUAGGGGGUUUCCGCCCCUUAGUGCUGCAGCUAACGCAUUAAGCACUCCGCCUGGGGAGUACGACCGCAAGGUUGAAACUCAAAGGAAUUGACGGGGACCCGCACAAGCGGUGGAGCAUGUGGUUUAAUUCGAAGCAACGCGAAGAACCUUACCAAAUCUUGACAUCCUUUGACAACUCUAGAGAUAGAGCUUUCCCCUUCGGGGGACAAAGUGACAGGUGGUGCAUGGUUGUCGUCAGCUCGUGUCGUGAGAUGUUGGGUUAAGUCCCGCAACGAGCGCAACCCUUAAGCUUAGUUGCCAUCAUUAAGUUGGGCACUCUAAGUUGACUGCCGGUGACAAACCGGAGGAAGGUGGGGAUGACGUCAAAUCAUCAUGCCCCUUAUGAUUUGGGCUACACACGUGCUACAAUGGACAAUACAAAGGGCAGCGAAACCGCGAGGUCAAGCAAAUCCCAUAAAGUUGUUCUCAGUUCGGAUUGUAGUCUGCAACUCGACUACAUGAAGCUGGAAUCGCUAGUAAUCGUAGAUCAGCAUGCUACGGUGAAUACGUUCCCGGGUCUUGUACACACCGCCCGUCACACCACGAGAGUUUGUAACACCCGAAGCCGGUGGAGUAA